rnacentral:rRNA from 1 species
ACGUGAAGCAGAAGGUAAUUUUACGGAUCGGAGUGCCCAGUGGGCCACUUUUGGUAAGCAGAACUGGCGCUUGUGGGAUGAACCAAACGCCGGGUUAAGGCGCCCGAAUCGACGCUCAUGUGAAACCAUGAAAGGUGUUGGUUGCUUAAGACAGCAGGACGGUGGCCAUGGAAGUCGGAAUCCGCUAAGGAGUGUGUAACAACUCACCUGCCGAAGCAACUAGCCCUGAAAAUGGAUGGCGCUGAAGCGUCGUGCCUAUACCCGGCCGCCGGCGGCAGAAGGCGUCAGUCUUCGGACUGUCGCUGCGAAGCCCCGGUGAGUAGGAGGGUCGCGACGGUGAGCGCAGAAGGGUCUGGGCGUGAGCCUGCCUGGAGCCGCCGUCGGUGCAGAUCUUGGUGGUAGUAGCAAAUACUCCAGCGAGGCCCUGGAGGACCGAUGUGGAGAAGGGUUCCGUGUGAACAGCCGUUGCACACGGGUCAGUCGAUCCUAAGCCCUAGGAGAAAUCCGAUGUUGAUGGUCGAGGGAUGUUCUUUAAGUCACUUUGGUGAGAAAGGACCCCGUCUCGAUGUCACACCUCUCGGUGCACUGCGAAAUCGCCUGUUGAAACCACGCUGGUUCCUUCUUUGUUUUCUUUCUCGGAAAGUCUCUCGCAAAGCGCAAAACCUCUUGCUCUCGCACUCUUCCCGUGCGGCAUUCGUGCCGUACCAGAGUCUUGAGGGGACGUGAGCGCUGCGCGUGCUAGACCGGAAGAGUUGGGGACAUGGAGGACGCCGGCGCGGCGAAUCGGACGAAAGUAGCGGGCGUCGGGUCGGUGCAAGACCUAAAAAGUUUUCUAUACUCUCAAAAAANCUUGAACGCCGCGACUUUGAUUAGACGCGCAAACCCCUUGAAUAGCAGAGUUCAUAAACUUUUUUAAAGUUGCAUCGCAAAACGGGUGACUGUGUUGGACGGAGUCUGGAGUAUCGCUGAAUCUCAUGUGACGGAACUAUUAACCCCCGUCCGUCGGGCGAAAGGGAAUCCGGUUCCUAUUCCGGAACCCGGUCGCGGAACCGCACUCACGAUCCUCGUAUUGACACGGUAACGUGAAUGAGCCCAGAGAUGCCGCCUGGAGCCCCGGGAAGAGUUUUCUUUUCUGCCUGAGCGUUCGGGUUCCAUGGAAUCCUCUCGUAGGGAGAUAUGGAAUGGAACGCGAAGAGCACCGCAGUUGCUGCGGUGUCCGGGGAGUCCCGCCGGCCCUUGAAAAUCUGGGUGAGGAUCACGUGGAGGCGUCGCACCGGCUCGUACCCAUAUCCGCAGCAGGUCUCCAAGGUCAAGAGCCUCUGGUCGAUAGACUAAUGUAGG